ensembl:lncRNA
UGUCAUUUAGCCGUGUGCUUGCGAAGUUGAGAGGGCUUCUUUGACCGCCGGACCGACAAGCCAGGCGAGGACACGAACCACCCCUCCAACAAGUCGUGAAAGUGGCAGCACAGCGGUGGAGCUGUAAGAAGUGACUGGCUUUGAUAUCUGUGGAGUGGAGUGGAGGCCUGCAGCAUCUCCGCUCCGCUCCGCUCCUCCUAAAGCUCUCUGCACGGUGUGCAACGCGGCCCAGACUCAGCCCACAGGCGCGUGUGUGUGUUUGUGUGUGUGUGCGUGUGUCUGCGCGCAUGCGCGCGCCUGUGUGUGUGCGCGCGCUUGUGUGUGUGUGCACGCGCGCGCGCGUGUGUGUGUGUGUGUGUGAUUGUGUGUGUGUGUGUGUGUGUGUGUGUGUGUGUGUGUGUGCGAUUGUGUGUGUGUGUGUGUGUGUGUGCACGUGUGUGUGUGUGUGUGUGUGUGUGUGUGAUUGUGUGUGUGUGUGUGUGUGCACGUGUGUGUGUGUGUGUGUGUGUGUGUGUGAUUGUCUGUGUGUGUGUGUGUGUGUGUGUG